CCCUUAGAUGUUCUGGGCCGCACGCGCGCUACACUGACGGAUUCAACGAGCUUACAACCUUGGCCGAAAGGUCUGGGUAAUCUCCAAAAUCCGUCGUGAUGGGGAUAGAUUAUUGCAAUUAUUAAUCUUCAACGAGGAAUGCCUAGUAAGCGCAAGUCAUCAGCUUGCGUUGAUUACGUCCCUGCCCUUUGUACACACCGCCCGUCGCUCCUACCGAUUGAAUGGUCCGGUGAAGCGUUUGGACUAUGGUUUUCUGAUGGUCCGCCGUUGGAUUACCGUGGGAAGUUCGUUAAACCUUAUCAUUUAGAGGAAGGAGAAGUCGUAACA
rnacentral:rRNA from 1 species